rnacentral:lncRNA from 14 species
CAGAUGACCACAGUCCCUCCAAAAAGUGUUAUGGCUAGAUUUACAAGAUCCACAGCUAAUCCAGUUUUCACCACCACAUUUGUAUCAGGACCUUGUAUGCCAGUGUCCAUCAAUGUUCAGAAUGUGACUGGGGACGCAAUACAAUUCAGCUGGACUGGUGGCAGGAGAGGCAGCCUCCACACCAUCUCCCUCAUGGAUGGAAAUCAGGAGAUAAACAAAACAACUACAAAAGAGACAGAAACUGUGUUUGAACAUUUACUUCCUGGUCAUGUAUACACAGUAUCUGUGGAAGAACAAUCUUGUGCUGGGGAUAGUAGGACUUCAGUUAGCGUUCGAACAGAUUCUGUUUCCUGUUUCAACAGAAUUGAGUUUUGCUUACCACAGAAUACUGCCUGUCCUGGCUUAAAAGAUAUUCUAU